rnacentral:rRNA from 1 species
AUUGAACGCUGGCGGCAGGCCUAACACAUGCAAGUCGAACGAGUGGCGGACGGGUGAGUAAUGUCUGGGAACCUGCCCGAUGGAGGGGUAUAACUACUGGAAACGGUAGCUAAUACCGCAUACCAUCGGAUGUGCCCAGAUGGGAUUAGCUAGUAGGUGUGGUAACGGCUCACCUAGGCGACGAUGCCUAGCUGGUCUGAGAGGCUGACCAGCCACAAUGGAACUGAGACACGGGCCAGACUCCUACGGGAGGCAGCAGUGGGGAAUAUUGCACAAUGGGCGAAAGCCUGAUGCAGCCAUGCCGCGUGUAUGAAGAAGGCCUUCGGGGUGUAAAGUACUGUCAGGGGGGAGGCGUUACCCGCAGAAGAAGCACCGGCUAACUCCGUGCCAGCAGCCGCGGUAAUUC